GCCCUGCUGGUCUAGUGGUAUGAUACCUGCUUCGGGUGCAGGUGGCCCCCGGUUCGAAUCCGGGGUAGGGCC
rnacentral:tRNA from 1 species